rnacentral:rRNA from 1 species
GACGAACGCUGGCGGCGUGCCUAAUACAUGCAAGUCGAGCGAACGGACGCUAAUCUUGCUUCUCUGAUGUUUGCGGCGGACGGGUGUGUCACACGUGGAUAACCUACCUAUCAUACUGGGAUAACUUCGGGAAACCGUAGCUAAUACCGGAUAAUAUUUUGAUCCGCAUGGUUCAAAAGUUAAAGUCGGUCUUGCUGUAACUAAUAGCUGCAUCCGCGCUGCUUUAGCUAGUUGGUACGGUCACGGCCUACCAAGGCAACGAGGCAUAGCCGACCUGAGAGGAUGAUCGGCCACACUGGCACUGAGACGCGGCCCAGACGCCUAAGGGAGGCAGCAGUAGGGAAUCUUCCGCAAUGGGCGAAAGCCUGACGGAGCAACGCCGCGUGAGUGAUGAAGGUCUUCGGAUCGUAAAGCUCUGUUAUUAGGGAAGAACGUAUGUGUAAGUAACAGAGCAGUGCGUGACGGUACCUAAUCAGAAAGCCACGGCUAACUACGUG